UCUAACCAUAAACCGACACACCUGAUUUAAUUAGUCAAAGGUGUUAUGAUUAGUUGAAUAACUGAAUCAGUGGUGCAAGUUUAGGGUUAAAACUAAAAUGAGAACUUCUGGGGGGGAUGCUGAAAAUAUAGUAAUUCCAGCUGGCACAGCUGCCAUGGCAGUGUGUAUACACAGCUAGUAUACUACAACUAUUCAGGUCAUCAUGGUCAAGGCUUAGUUUUGCUGACUUGAGUAAAACUUGAAGUGAGCAUAGCUAGGUCAUGACUGAGGAAACGCAGAACUUUCAGGUGAAAUGAAGUCAUUUGUAUCCAGAAAUGCACAAAAUCCAAUGCCAGCCCCCUCCUUGGCUAGCCUCAAAAACCGACACUAGGCAGAGGCAACUAGGGUCGGAUUUUCAAGACUACCCUUGGCUCCACCUUCAGUUUCUGUUCUGGAGACAGUUUGAUGCAGACAGGCAUGUCAAGAUAUUCGGACAUUUCUUGUGACAGCCGUUGGUUUACAAGGAGCUUGGCACAAAAGAAAACAAUAUGUUACGACAAAUGAUAAGGUUGCUUGCAUGAUGUGUGUGAAUAAAAAUGUACUUGGUCCUAGGCUUGCUAAUCAUU